rnacentral:rRNA from 1 species
GAUAAACGCUGACAGAAUGCUUAACACAUGCAAGUCGAUGAUGAGCUAUAGCUUGCUAUAGUAAGUCAUGGCGGACGGGUGAGUAACGCGUAAAGAACUUACCUCAUAGACUGGGAUAACAGAGGGAAAACUUCUGAUAAGACUGGAUAAGUUGGUUAUUAGCAUUAAUAACGAAUGAAAGGGGACACUAUGAGAGAGCUUUGCGUCCUAUUAGCUAGUUGGUGGGGUAAAGGCCUACCAAGGCGAUGAUAGGUAGCCGGCCUGAGAGGGUGGACGGCCACAAGGGGACUGAGAUACGGCCCUUACUCCUACGGGAGGCAGCAGUGGGGAAUAUUGGACAAUGGAGGCAACUCUGAUCCAGCAAUUCUGUGUGUGUGAAGAAGGUUUUAGGACUGUAAAACACUUUUAGUAGGGAAGAAAAAAAUGACGGUACCUACAGAAGAAGCGACGGCUAAAUAC